rnacentral:rRNA from 1 species
CGCGUAGGUGGUUCGUUAAGUUGGAUGUGAAAUCCCCGGGCUCAACCUGGGAACUGCAUCCAAAACUGGCGAGCUAGAGUAUGGUAGAGGGUGGUGGAAUUUCCUGUGUAGCGGUGAAAUGCGUAGAUAUAGGAAGGAACACCAGUGGCGAAGGCGACCACCUGGACUGAUACUGACACUGAGGUGCGAAAGCGUGGGGAGCAAACA